rnacentral:rRNA from 1 species
AAACCAACAGGGAUUGCCUUAGUAACGGCGAGUGAAGCGGCAAAAGCUCAAAUUUGAAAUCUAGUACUUUCAGUGCUCGAGUUGUAAUUUGAAGAAGGUAACUUUGGUGUUGGCCCUUGUCUAUGUUUCUUGGAACAGGACGUCACAGAGGGUGAGAAUCCCGUGCGAUGAGGAGUCCAACACUAUGUAAAGUGCUUUCGAAGAGUCGAGUUGUUUGGGAAUGCAGCUCUAAGUGGGUGGUAAAUUCCAUCUAAAGCUAAAUAUUGGCGAGAGACCGAUAGCGAACAAGUACAGUGAUGGAAAGAUGAAAAGAACUUUGAAAAGAGAGUGAAAAAGUACGUGAAAUUGUUGAAAGGGAAGGGUUUGAGAUCAGACUUGGUAUUUUGCAAUCCUUUCCUUCUCGGAAAGGUUUCUUAGCAGCUUACCGGGCCAGCAUCGGUUUGGAUGGUAGGAUAAUGACAUUGGAAUGUAGCUCUUCGGAGUGUUAUAGACUUUGUUGAUACUGCCUAUCUAGACCGAGGACUGCGUCUUUGACUAGGAUGCUGGCGUAAUGAUCUUAAACCGC